rnacentral:rRNA from 1 species
CCUACGGGCGGCAGCAGUCGAGAAUCAUUCACAAUGGGGGAAACCCUGAUGGUGCGACGCCGCGUGGGGGAAUGAAGGUCUUCGGAUUGUAAACCCCUGUCAUGUGGGAGCAAAUUAAAAAGAUAGUACCACAAGAGGAAGAGACGGCUAACUCUGUGCCAGCAGCCGCGGUAAUACAGAGGUCUCAAGCGUUGUUCGGAAUCACUGGGCGUAAAGCGUGCGUAGGCUGUUUCGUAAGUCGUGUGUGAAAGGCGCGGACUCAACCCGCGGACGGCACAUGAUACUGCGAGACUAGAGUAAUGGAGGGGGAACCGGAAUUCUCGGUGUAGCAGUGAAAUGCGUAGAUAUCGAGAGGAACACUCGUGGCGAAGGCGGGUUCCUGGACAUUAACUGACGCUGAGGCACGAAGGCCAGGGGAGCGAAAGGGAUUAGAUACCCGUGUAGUC